AAUCCUCAAUGGACUGCAAGAGGCCGGUCUCAAACCAGAUCUUGUAUCGUAUAACACUGUCAUUAAAGGGUUCUGCAGGCAAGGGCUUUUGCAAGAAGCUAUGAGGACUUUCUCAGAGAUGACAACGAGAGGAAUUCGGCCUUGCAUUGUCACCUACAAUACGUUCAUUGCUGGCUUCUCCACACGGGGUUUGUUCCCUGAAGUACACGAAGUGAUCAGUUAUAUGAUUCAGCACAACUGCAGACCAAAUGAACUGACCUACAAGAUCCUAAUAGAUGGUUACUGUAAAGCCAAAAGGUACAAGGAUGCUAUGGAUUUUGUAUCCAAAAUUAGGGAGGACUCUUCUUGUGAUGAGGAGUCAUUGUCACCUACAAUACGUUCAUUGCUGGCUUCUCCACACGGGGUUUGUUCCCUGAAGUACACGAAGUGAUCAGUUAUAUGAUUCAGCACAACUGCAGACCAAAUGAACUGACCUACAAGAUCCUAAUAGAUGGUUACUGUAAAGCCAAAAGGUACAAGGAUGCUAUGGAUUUUGUAUCCAAAAUUAGGGAGGACUCUUCUUGUGAUGAGGAGUCUUUGCAAAGAUUCACAACUCGUAUAACAGGAAACAUGGAGUCGUG
rnacentral:lncRNA from 1 species